rnacentral:misc_RNA from 1 species
UCGUAACAAGGUUUCCGUAGGUGAACCUGCGGAAGGAUCAUUACCGAGUGCGGGUCUUUAUGGCCCAACCUCCCACCCGUGACUAUUGUACCUUGUUGCUUCGGCGGGCCCGCCAGCGUUGCUGGCCGCCGGGGGGCGACUCGCCCCCGGGCCCGUGCCCGCCGGAGACCCCAACAUGAACCCUGUUCUGAAAGUUUGCAGUCUGAGUGUGAUUCUUUGCAAUCAGUUAAAACUUUCAACAAUGGAUCUCUUGGUUCCGGCAUCGAUGAAGAACGCAGCGAAAUGCGAUAACUAAUGUGAAUUGCAGAAUUCAGUGAAUCAUCGAGUCUUUGAACGCACAUUGCGCCCCCUGGUAUUCCGGGGGGCAUGCCUGUCCGAGCGUCAUUGCUGCCCUCAAGCCCGGCUUGUGUGUUGGGCCCUCGUCCCCCGGCUCCCGGGGGACGGGCCCGAAAGGCAGCGGCGGCACCGCGUCCGGUCCUCGAGCGUAUGGGGCUUCGUCUUCCGCUCCGUAGGCCCGGCCGGCGCCCGCCGACGCAUUUUUUUGCAACUUGUUCUUUUUCCAGGUUGACCUCGGAUCAGGUAGGGAUACCCGCUGAACUUAAGCAUAUCAAUAAGCGGAGGA